rnacentral:piRNA from 1 species
UCACUGUGGAAUCCAGGAAGAGUGCUGUUA